UCCGUAGGUGAACCUGCGGAGGGAUCAUUACACAAAUAUGAAGGCGGGCUGGAACCUCUCGGGGUUACAGCCUUGCUGAAUUAUUCACCCUUGUCUUUUGCGUACUUCUUGUUUCCUUGGUGGGUUCGCCCACCACUAGGACAAACAUAAACCUUUUGUAAUUGCAAUCAGCGUCAGUAACAAAUUAAUAAUUACAACUUUCAACAACGGAUCUCUUGGUUCUGGCAUCGAUGAAGAACGCAGCGAAAUGCGAUAAGUAGUGUGAAUUGCAGAAUUCAGUGAAUCAUCGAAUCUUUGAACGCACAUUGCGCCCUUUGGUAUUCCAAAGGGCAUGCCUGUUCGAGCGUCAUUUGUACCCUCAAGCUUUGCUUGGUGUUGGGCGUCUUGUCUCUAGCUUUGCUGGAGACUCGCCUUAAAGUAAUUGGCAGCCGGCCUACUGGUUUCGGAGCGCAGCACAUGUCGCACUCUCUAUCAGCAAAGGUCUAGCAUCCAUUAAGCCUUUUUUUCAACUUUUGACCUCGGAUCAGGUAGGGAUACCCGCUGAACUUA
rnacentral:rRNA from 1 species